rnacentral:rRNA from 1 species
UAGUUAUUUUCUUUAAACCUAAAGAAUUUGGCGGUGUUUUAGACUAUUUAGAGGAACUUGUUUCGUAAUCGAUAAUCCCCGUUUUAUCUUUCUUUAAUUAGUAUUCAAUUUGUAUACCGCCGUUAUAAGUUUAUUCUUUUAGGUUAAUAAUUUACUUUAUAUUUUAUAAAAUUUUAUUUCAGGUCAAGGUGCAGUUUAUGUUAAAGUGUUGAUGAGUUACAUUAUUUAUUUGAAUUAUUGGAUUUGAUUAUUAUGAAUAUUUUUGAUGAAAGUGGAUUUAAUAGUAAUUUAAUUUAUAGAGAUUAUGUGAUAUAUAGCUCUGAAAUGAGUACACAUCGCCCG